UUUUUUUUUUUUUUUUUUUUUUUUUUUACUGAUGGCACAUGGAAGCUUCCUGGCCAGUGAUCAGACCCAUGCCACAGCAGUGACCUGAGCCACAGCAGUGACAAUGCCAGAUCCUUAACCCAUUAGGCUGCCAGGGAACUCCACUGGGGAGAUUUUGGAUUGCUGAUUGAAUCUCCUUGGUCUAUUCAGAUUAUCUGUUUCUUCCUGAUUCAGUCUUGGAAGGUUGUAUGUUUAUAAUAAUUAUAAUAAUUAUCCUUUUUUUUUUUUAGGUUGUCCAGUUUUUUUGGCAUACAGUUAUUCAGUGUGGUAUAACUUUUGUAGCCUGGGAUUUUUUUUUUUUUCCAUUUUAUUCUUGUUGAAUGUGACUUUCUAAGUAGGCCAGAAAGAUCUUAAAAGAUGUUUAAAUUAACACAACAUUGUAAAUCAACAAUACUUCAAUUAAAAAAAAAACAGUUAAAAGAAAAAAAUACAGUAAAUAUACCAACUUAGUAAAUUAAAAAAAAAAAAGUUGUUUAUUGUUCAGGGAAAUACAGUAAGGGAUGAGACUGGAUUUAAGGAGAGAUAUUUUUCUUUUGUUUUAUUUUAUUAUGAACUUAUGUCUUUGAAUCUAGUUUUAGAUUGUUUAUGGAUUCAGUAGAAGCCUAUUUGAUUGAGUAGAAUCCUAGAAGAUACACAGAAUAGACUGGGUGCCUGCCGUUUUUUUCACUUCUCUGUCAGUCACAGGCACUGCCGCUUCCUUCAGAUGUAGGUGCAGAAGAAUUGAGCCUAGAGGAAGAUUUUUCUACUUUCACAUUUCAUUGAAGUUAGAUUGUCUCUAACUUGUUCUUUUAACAUAUCUUCCUCCUUCCCCUCCUUUUAAGACAUUGAGGUAAAACAUAAUUUUUCAAACCUUUACUUUUUGAUUUCUCUCUCCCAUCAAAUUGAACAGCAGGGGAAAGAACUUGAAGUAGAAAAGAGGCCAGUGUAACAAUUAACCAACAAAUGGUUACAUUUUCAUUGAUAAAUGCCCUAAAAUAAAAAAUUCUGGAAUGCUAACUUUUAACAAUGCACCUAUCUAUCUAAAUGUGUUUCUAUUGGAAACUGUGCAUGCUAAAAUUGUUGCAAAUAGGUUGCAAUUCAGAAAAACUGCAACAUAGAAGUUACUUAGUAUCACAAUUUGAACUGGAAUCUAAUGCGGUGACUUACCAAUAAGUGGGGGGCUUGGUUAGAGAUCAGCUCUGAGAUCUGCUAGGCGCUCAUGGUGCCCAGAGUGCAGCCUGGUUUCUAUCAGGAUAGGUUAGGAUUUUUGUUGUCAAUUCCCCACUCUGUGAUCUAGGCAUAGUGCCUAACCUCUCAGAGCCUCUGGUUAGCUGGGUUACCUCAAGAUAGAGCUACAGGUAACAUUCUGAGGGAGCAGCAGAAGGGAGAAAUGGAUUAAUGCUGAGUCCAAAGACUAGGAAAAGUUCUAGGACAGAAAUGGCAUUUGAUCUGGUCUUGUGGAAUGAGGAUUCCUAAACUCAUAAAGAGAGUGACAAGGGAGUUCCCUGGUGGCUCAGCAGGUUGAGAAUCUGGUGUUGACCCUGCUAUGGUGCAGGUUUAAUUGCUGGCCCUGGAACUUCUGCAUGCUCUGUGCAUGUGGAUCGAGGAUUGAGGUCUCCAUUUCUUUGCUGGCUGUCAGGGGGUUGUCCUCAUCCAUUACCACAUGGCUCUCUCCAUUUUCAAGGCAUCAGUGGCACAUUAAUUCCUUCACAUGUUUUGAAUCUCUCUGACUUACCUUCUGAGACUAGCCAGAGAAAAGGCUCUGCUUUAAAGAGCUCACGUGAUUAGAUCAGGCUCACCUGGAUUUGCUCCCCUAAUUUAAGGUCAACUCUGUCAUAUAACAUAAUUUAAUGAUGGGAUUAAAAUCCAUCAAAUUCACAGUCCCAGAGGACUAUGCAGAGCAUGUAGAUCAGAGGGCAGGACAUUUUGGGGAUCAUCUUAGAAUUCUGCCUUCUACAUUAGGUAAUAGGGAGUUACUGCAGGUGCCUGAGCAAGAGGGUUACAUGUUCCAGGCAGUGUCCUAGAAAGUUAACUGUAGUGGAAUAUUGCAAGUAUUUUGGAAAAAAAAUUAGAGACAGUAAGCCGCUGACACUGGAGGAAGUCUUGGCAAUAUCAGGAGGACUUUAGUACUGAUUAUAUACUGUUUAGUACUAGUUCAAUACAUUUAGUUAGAGAAGGGCUUCAGGGCAUUGGAAAUAGGGAUCUGAGGAUCAAAAGGACUUGACAGCUUGCUGCCUCCAGCCUUAAGCCAAGAUUGUAUUCAUUUGUGUUUAUGGAAUGAAAGAUACUGGGUGGUACCAAGUAGGCGGGCUCUUAAUGCCUCCCCCUCUGAAUUAGGGUAGCCUUGGUCUGUUUUAUAUACUGGCACUUCACUUUUAAAUUAAAUUUAUUAUUUCCUUUGUAUUGUUUAAUCUAGGAGCUUUCUAACACCUUCAUUUUAUAAACGGUCAUACAGUGGCUCAGAGAGAGGAAAUGGCAUUCCUGCUAAUGUUUCUUAGCUUUGCCAAAUAUGUAGUUUGGUUUGGGGAGAAACAAUUCACUGGUAAAGAAUGAGUAGAGGGCAUAAGAAAGACAGCUCAGAAGAUUAUCUCAUGGAUUCUAGGGAGACUGGGCUUAUCUUGGUUUGGGAUUUGUUAGGAAAACUUCAGGCUUUGGAUCCUGGCUUUUAAAGGAAGUAGUGGAGAGACAGUCAGAAUUGCCCAAGUAGGAGUUCCCCUUGUGGCGCAGCAGAAAUGAAUCCGACUAGGAACCAUGAGGUUGUGGGUUCAAUCCCUGGCCUCGCUCAGUGGGUUAAGGAUCUGGCGUUGCCGUGAGCUGUGGUGUAGUUUGCAGGCGCAGGUCAGAUCUGGCGUUGCUAUGGUUCUGGCAUUGCCAUGGCUCUGGUGUAGGCCAGCAGCAACAGCUCUGAUUCGACCCCUAGCCUGGGACCUCCAUAUGCUGUUAGUGCGGCCUUAAAAAGACAAAAAGACAAAACAAACAAACAAACAAAAAUUAUCCAAGUAAAGGUCAGCAGACAGGGCCAGCUAUGUUCAAAGCUGGGGUGCAAGGGACUCUCCAGAGGCAGUGUGGUAUGGUGGAUGUGAGCUUCUAGGUCUUAUGUCUUGGAGCUGUGUUACCUUGGGGAAGUUAUUUUGUUUCCUGGAGCCUCAGUUUUUCCCACUGUAAAAUGGGGCUAAUAAUUUUGUACUUAUACAUACAUAAUAACAGUUCUCUAGAUCAAAACCAGUUGAGUAUCUGAAAUCUCAUAUAUUUCCUCCUAAUUUAUUCACACCUGAUAGGGCUGGUGUGAGGCCCAGGUGUGAUAAUGCAUGUUUAGCACAGUACCUAGCAUGUCAUAAGUACUGAACGAAUAAUACUUAUUUAUAAUAUUAUUCAAGGAAUGGGAGACUUCACACCUUGGAAUGUGGAUAGAGGGUUUAACCUUUCAAGCCAAGAGAAGCCUUUCACUUUGAGUUGCAGGACCAUAGCCAGGUUGCAAAGGAGAGUGAACUGUGAGACUAUCAACUGGAAUUUUCAGUCAGGAGAACAGAAGGACUUUUGAUGUGUCAACAUUUGGCUUGACCUGGGGAUACAAAGUUUAGUGACUUGCUAUGAAUUGUAGUCUCCGAGAAGUUUACAGACUUGGGAGGAAGAUAGAUAGACGGGUGGACAGGAUAAAACCUAGAUCAGAGCCAAAAUCUCUCCUUGGGUGAGGCAGAGAGGGCCAGGAAGGAAGACAGAGGCGGGUUGUGUGUUUGUGGUGGGCAAGAGGGGCGGAGAGCAGGGCUCAAUCUUAUUGGAUAAAGAGCAGAAGCUCUGGGUGCUGGAAACUCCUCUGGCCAGGGCUGUUUUAGUGAUGAGAUGGACAAAAAGGGAGGAAGUUACAUUUGAUGAAGGAAAUUUUCUGGAAGGGAAAUGAGGGCUCCUUAGAGAAAAGUAAAGAGCUGGGAGAGAGGUAGGAGGAAGAGGAGGAAGUGUGGGGAGAGGUGAAAUUUGUUCUUGUUGGGGAUGCAGGGGUGACAGGCACACAGAGGUCUGAGAGCUGUCAGCUGUGAUCCAUUGGCAAGGACACUGUGGGUUCAGCAUCCAAAAUGACAGCAGAAAGAAACCAGGGUUCUUGGGAAGGGCUCCUGAUUUCCCCAAAACUCUAGGUCUGCUAGAAAAGAAGAUCCCCUUGUGCAGAAUAAUCCGCCUCUUAACACCCCUCUUAAGAAUAUUUGAGAAUGCUAAAUUUUUCCGCUACUCCAGUCUGUGAAACAGAAUCAAAGCAUCUCUCUUGGAGCCUGUGAACCACAACAAGGGCUUUACGACAGCUUCUGAGCAGUGCCCCUACCUUGUUUAUGAUGCAUGUACUAAUUAGGAAGAGCUGUGUUCUCUUUGUGGUCUAAGACUUUGCAAUGUACCUACGUGGUCAUUAUUAUCAGUAAUAAUUAAUGAGAUAAAGCUUUAGAACAGGUGUCUGGUAAUCCUUGGUGGAGAGAUUUCAGAGCCUCUUGUUCCCUGACUUUGCCUUCUUUCCACCUGGAAGGGAGGCUCGGGGAGCCCUUCAGACCAUAGCCGCUGGGGGGGAAUUCCUUGGCUCACUGUGAAGAAGGCAUGGUAUGCUGAGAUUACUGUUUACCUCGGGUGAAGGCAGCUGCUUUGAUGCUCUCCCAGGGCUGGAGGUGGAGAAGUGGCUUUGGUGCAGAUCCAUCCUCUCACAGGGAAAUCUUUCUAGUUCUCAGGCAUGGAACCUUGACCUUCAGAGUCACAGAAUAGAUUCUGAUGUAAUGAGUCAAGAUAUUGGCUUUCAGGAGAAUGUUUGGUAGAUUGCUUUAUUCACCAAGCUUUUCUUCCACAGUGUAAACAAGAACGUGCCAUUUUCUUGUCAUCUGAAGAACUCUGAGUUGCUUAAAUCUCAUCAAAUGUAGUGUUAUUUACUCAAGCUUUCUUCCUGAAUUCUGCCCCGGAGUGUUCGUAGGCAGUUACAUUUAUCUCUGUAACAUUACUCACCAUUUAGUAAAAGAAACAAAACAAAACAAAUGCCUCCUCCAUAAAACACAUAUAAAGCAGGAAUAACAUGUGAAUGAACAAGAUCCUGGCUUGAAUUAGUUCUCUUGCGACAAAUGUAGAGUUGUUUGUAAUUUUGAGUAAAUGAGUCUGCAAACCAAAAUAGUUAGUAGGUUUAAUUUUAGGUUUACAGUUUUGACAUCGUAACCCUAAAUUACAUCUCCAUUUGGAAAAAAUCUUUUCAAUUCAAACUUUUUUUUUAAGCUAGUACCACAGAUGACUCUAUAUUAAAAUUUCUCUGAAGAUAACUUAGCUCUAUCUGUCUGUUAACCUAAAUUAAUAUAUAAAUAAUAGGAGUUCCCAUCGUGGAGCAGCAGAAACGAAUCUAACUAGGAAGCAUGAGGUUGUGGGUUCGAUCCCUGGCCUCACUCAGUGGGUUAAGGAUCUGGCAUUGCUGUGAGCUGUGGUGUAGAUUGCAGACAUGGGCUCGGAUCCCACGUUGCUGUGGCUGUGGCAAAUGUUGGCAGCUACAGCUCCAGUUGGACCCCUAGUCCGGAAACCUCCAUAUGCUGUGGGUACUGCCCUAAAAAGCUGUAAUAGUAAUGUUUACUAUCAAGAUCAUAAAUGAUGUCAUUGUCUACUUGCAUCUUAGAUAUACUAUCCUUGUUGAAAAUGCUGGUAGUCAUGAAUAUAUCACAUUUUUAAAAGGCUUUUAACAUGGCAGAGAGGAAAUAGUCAGAGAAUAUACCAAACUCCAACAUUUUGGGGAAGGAAAAAAAGCAAUCACAAUUUCUAGAAAACAAAGUUAUUUACAAUGAGUUUCAUUAGCCACCCUUUAAUAAAGAACUAGCACCUAAAUGUUUUUGUCAUUGGAGAACUAAGGCAAUAACUUAAUGGUCUCCAGUUAAAGCUAGAACGAGACUAAAAGAGGAAUGAUUUUUGGUUCCCUAGAGGCAGGAAGUGUUUCUUUAAAAAUCACUCUGUGUGAUGCCUCCAAGAGCAACAUAAACAGGUACUUAGUUAAUAAGUGUCUUUUGAUGAUGGCAUGUUCAAAGGAGUACCCUCCUACCGAUCAAAAACUGAAAUUACCUGAAUUUAUAAGAUGGUUAUAGAAAUCUAGGCAUCCCUUAUAAUCAAGGUCAAUGCAUUUAAAUAAAGAUAUUUCUACUUUGAGCUCAUGGAGGAAGAAAAAGGACAGUGCAUCUCAGAUGCCAAGUCCCUGACCAAAUCUGGGCAGUAGUAAUAGCCUCUUUUGGCCCUUGGUAAAAUCCCCAAUAAACUAAAUACCAAAAUCAAAUAUAGAAAAUGAAAGGAUCUCUGUAGACUGGCUGAGUGACAUGAGUAGUCACUGGUCUUUCGGAUGGCCAGAAGCCCAACCUGGAGUUACAUAAGACCUCAUUCCUGCUUGCCCUGGACCUUCCAAGUCUCACAUUAACAUAUGAAAAAUCUUUUUCAAGAGUCUUAUUAAAGCUGUGUUGGCUUGGAUAGAGUGCCAGUGGGUGGAAUCUGAGUUUUAUCAGGUGCUGCUUAAGGACGAACAUUUAGGGUAGUUGAAGAAAGUACUGAAAGCAGAAAUAGGGUUUGGGGAUUGUUAUUUGGAGGCAGCCUCUUAAGGGUAUCAUGGAAAAAAACAAUUUUAAAUUUUCAAAAAAAAAUUCUCAUUUUAUUUUAUAUCUGGUUUGAAUAUGGUGAUAGUGUUUAUCUCUAUUUCCUGGACAACUGGCCUUUUCCUUCAGUAUUAUUCCUUUGGGGAAAUGUACGUCUUCCAAAUUCUGUCUUGUAGCUCACACAUCAUUAUUCUUAUUUGCUUGUUAGGCUCAGCAAUCCAUGUCUUCUUCUUAAAAAUGCCAUUAGAUCCACAGAAUAAUAGUGAAACUUGCACAAACAGAAGAAACUGAGUCUGUUCAGAAAAGUACAGUUACUGGUGACGUAGCAGGAUCUAAAGGCUAACAUUUUGUGCUCCUUUCUGCCAAUAUAUGUUUCCUCCCUCCCUCUCUCCCCUCCCUCCCUCCCUCCCUUCCUUCCUUCCUCCCUCCCUCCCUCUCUCUCUUUCUCUCUCCUUUCUUUCUCUCUCCCUUUCUUUCUUUCUUUCUUUCUUUCUUUCUUUCUUUCUUUCUUUCUUUCUUUCUUUCUUUCUUUCUUUCUUUCUUUCUUUCUUUCUUUCCUUCCUUCCUUUCUUUCCUUUCUUUCUUUCUUUCUCAUGCCUGAGGCAUGAAGAAGUUCUCAGGCCCAAAAUGGAACUCCAGCCACAACAGUGACAAAGCUGUUUCCGUAACAGCCAGGCCACCAAAGAAUUCUCUAUAUUUUAUUUUCUUACCCUAAUUUUCCCUUCAUUCACAGUACCUCUUUUAUUUGUUUUAUUUCAGUGGCAUGUGUUUUUUUGAUAAGUGUAUUCAAAUCUUCUGGGGAAUGAAGUGGAGUGUAAACAAAUAGAUAAAUAAGUAAGCUGCUGAAGUUCUUUCUUAAGUGAAAUAAGUAGCAAUAUGGCCAGUCAGAGCAGGUUUGAUAAGUCUUUCAAAAUAGUGUAAAUUUAGAGUUUGCUUAGUUUUUAUCUUUUUUCUAUCUCCCAGUAUUAUGAAAUAAUUAGAGGAGUUCCUGUCAUGGCUCAGUGAUUAACGAACCCAGCUAGGAUUCUUGAGGAUGCGGGUUGAUCCCUGGCCUUGCUCAGUGGGUUAAGGAUCCAGUGUUGCUGUGAGUUGUGGUGUAGGUUGCAGACACAGCUCAGAUUUGGCAUUGCUAGGUUAUGGCAUAGGCUGGCGGCUACAGCUCUGAUUCGACCCCUAGCCUGGGAACCUCUAUAUGCCAUGAGUAAGGCCCUAAAAAGAUAAAAAGACAGAAAAAAAAAAAAAAAAAAAAAAAAA
rnacentral:lncRNA from 1 species